rnacentral:lncRNA from 10 species
CAUUCCAUUAGUUUAAUUUUAUAACCAUAGUAACCGAAGCAGGGAAUUGUGAAGUAACUUUCACAAGGUCACAUGAUCAGGUUUGUGCUGAUCAAGGUCUUCACUUCAGAACUCUUGCUCCCACAACCUUGAGUUGCAGUUCCAAUCCAGUGCUUCAGUUGCCUAUUAGCUAGCUCCCUCCUCAAUCUGGGGGAGUGGGAGGUACAUGGGUAGCGGGGUAUGGGUGGUAAAGGCAAGGGCUCCUGGAAGUAAAUAUAGAAGUGCCAGCGGUUGGUGUUGGCAUUAGCUUUUUGGCUGUAACAUAAACCCCGUCAGCAUGUCUAUGCAUGCCUAUAUGAUGCAAACACAUGUUUGCAAUAGAGGCUAGUUUGAGAUUUUCACAACAGUAAGUCUAAAGUUGUAGUUCUCAGCACAGGUGGCACACUGAAAUAUGU